rnacentral:lncRNA from 1 species
UUAUAGACCGACAGAAAUAGGUGAUACCAAAAAUUUAAACUCUUGCCUGAAUUCUCUAAAUAGCUGAAAUUCAUAGUGAUAUUCCCAUAUAGAGGUAUAUGCAUCUAAUUAUUCCUAUUAAAAAGCCCUCUUUCCUAUUAUCGAACUUUUUCUUUUUCUCUCCAACUGUAUAUUUCAAGCAAGAUUGUAAAAGGCUACCUUAAGGCACGCUUUCUGCCUAGGCAUAGGCUAAAUGCAGCGAUGGCUCUGGUAAAAGCAAGCAGGCACAAAAAUUGCACAGGAGGAGGGAAAAGCUUAAGCCUCAGUAAAUCUGCUGUAGUUCAGUUGAUGUAGAACUCAGGCUCCUUGCAAUUAUGCAAGUCUGAUGUAGUUCAGUAGAGCUUAGUUGAUAAGUCCUCAGGUUUUGGAUUUCUUCAGUGUUCAUGGGAUCUAAAUGGAAAUGUUCCCUAUAAAAUAUUUGUUGGAAGCUGCUGUUCAAGCAAUGCAUGGUUGUGAAUUCUAAUCCCAACUGAAACCCAGGCUUAAAGGUCUUUUGUGCAUGCUGGAUGAUUGUCUAAACGGCGGGAGUUUAACAACAGUAGGAAUGUGACAGACGAAGACAAAUAUGCCCGGUAC